rnacentral:rRNA from 1 species
UACGUAGGGGGCUAGCGUUGUCCGGAAUCAUUGGGCGUAAAGCGCGCGUAGGCGGCCCGGUAAGUCCGCUGUGAAAGUCAAAGGCUCAACCUUUGAAUGUCAGCGGAUACUGCCGGGCUAGAGUCCGGAAGAGGCGAGUGGAAUUCCUGGUGUAGCGGUGGAAUGCGCAGAUAUCAGGAGGAACACCAAUAGCGAAGGCAGCUCGCUGGGACGUUACUGACACUGAGGCGCGAAAGCGUGGGGAGCGAACAGG